rnacentral:rRNA from 1 species
UACGGGGGGGGCAAGCGUUGUUCGGAAUUACUGGGCGUAAAGGGCUCGUAGGCGGCCAACUAAGUCAGACGUGAAAUCCCCAGGCUCAACCUGGGAACUGCGUCUGAUACUGGAUGGCUUGAAUUCGGGAGAGGGAUGCAGAAUUCCAGGUGUAGCGGUGAAAUGCGCAGAUAUCGGGAAGAACACCCGUGGCGAAGGCGGUUCUCUGGGACGGUACUGACGCUGAGACGCGAAAGCGUGGGGAGCGAACAGG